rnacentral:rRNA from 1 species
AGCCUGAUGGAGCAACGCCGCGUGUGUGAUGAAGGCUUUCGGGUCGUAAAGCUCUGUUGUAUGAGAAGAAAUGCUAAAAUAGUGAAUGAUUUUAGUUUGACGGUACCAUACCAGAAAGGGACGGCUAAAUACGUGCCAGCAGCCGCGGUAAU